rnacentral:rRNA from 1 species
CUUGGUCAUUUAGAGGAAGUAAAAGUCGUAACAAGGUUUCCGUUGGUGAACCAGCGGAAGGAUCAUUACAGAAUUGCCCCAUUUUUUGAAAUGGGUUCUAUUCCCAAACCGUGUAUACAUACCUUUGUUGCUUUGGCAAGCCGUCCUUCGGGCGCAGCUUCGGCUGAGAGCGCUUGCCAGAGGACCCCAACUCUUUUGUUUAGUGAUGUCUGAGUACUAUAUAAUAGUUAAAACUUUCAACAACGGAUCUCUUGGUUCUGGCAUCGAUGAAGAACGCAGCGAAAUGCGAUAAGUAAUGUGAAUUGCAGAAUUCAGUGAAUCAUCGAAUCUUUGAACGCACAUUGCGCCCCUUGGUAUUCCGAGGGGCAUGCCUGUUCGAGCGUCAUUAUGACCACUCAAGCCUAGCUUGGUAUUGGGGUUCGCGGUCUCGCGGCUCUUAAAAUCAGUGGCGGUGCCAUCUGGCUCUAAGCGUAGUAAUUCUCUCGCUAUAGGGCUCCGGUAGUUGCUUGCCAAAACCCCCCUAUUUCUCACGGUUGACCUCGGAUCAGGUAGGGAUACCCGCUGAACUUAAGCAUAUCAAUAAGCGGAGGA